GUGGUGGCUCAGUGGUAGAGAGCUUGCCUAACAUGUGUGAGGGACUGGGUUCGAUUCUCAGCAUCACA
rnacentral:tRNA from 1 species